CUUCCCACUACCAUGACUCUUGUUGGGAGUGAAAGGAUUUUACCCCCUUUCUUUGUCAGCAGCUGGCCUGGACUCCCAGGGGAGCCUGGUCAAUAUUAAUGGACACGCAAGGCUGUGGGGCACACAGGGUUUUGUGAUUAUGGAUUAUCUCCUGCUCAGCACCAUCUUGAAGGUGGAGACAAAAGUUCUCAGCCAGCAAGCUCCAGGUGGCUGGCCACACUGAGAAGAGGAUGUUUGUGAAAAGACCUGAAGGAAACGAGGACACUAGCCACAGAGAUAGCUGGGGAAGAGUGUUCCUGGAACAAGGAACAGCAAGCGCAAUGGCCCAGAGGCAGCAGCACAUUUGCAAACCUUUUCUUAAAGGGCCAG
rnacentral:lncRNA from 1 species